AGCCCGGUGGUGUAGCGGCAAUCAUGGAGGCCUUUGGAGCCUUCGACGGGAGUUCGAAUCUCCCCCGGGCUACCA
rnacentral:tRNA from 3 species